UACGGAGGGUGCAAGCGUUAUCCGGAUUCACUGGGUUUAAAGGGUGCGUAGGUGGAGUGGUAAGUCAGUGGUGAAAUCUCCAAGCUUAACUUGGAACUGCCGUUGAUACUAUCAUUCUUGAAUAUCGUGGAGGUAAGCGGAAUAUGUCAUGUAGCGGUGAAAUGCUUAGAUAUGACAUAGAACACCGAUUGCGAAGGCAGCUUACUACACGAUCAUUGACACUGAGGCACGAAAAGCGUGGGGAUCAAACAGG
rnacentral:rRNA from 1 species